GGCCCCUUCGACUAGUGGUUAGGUCACCACCCUUUCAAGGUGGUUGGACGGGUUCGAAUCCCGUAGGGGUCA
rnacentral:tRNA from 1 species